AAGUCGUAACAAGGUUUCCGUAGGUGAACCUGCGGAAGGAUCAUUAUCAGAGCUUUGCUCAUUCCAUUCUUGUGAAUUUUAUUGUCUCAAAUUAAAACUUUCAACAACGGAUCUCUUGGCUCCG
rnacentral:misc_RNA from 1 species